rnacentral:tRNA from 2 species
AACUUUAUAUUCAAAAAUGAUAAUAGACUGCAAUUCUAGAGGAAUAAUUAAAAUAAUUAUUAAAGUUU